GUGGCAUGCCCCUGUAAUCCCAGCUACUUGGGAGGCUGAGGCAGGAGAAUCGCUUGAACCCGGAGGCGGAGGUUGUAGUGAGCCGAGAUCAUGCCACUGCAUUCCAGCCUGGGGGACAGAGCAAGAUUCCGUAUCAGAAACAAACAAACAGAAAAACCAACAACAAAAAAAACCAAAAAACAAAAAUAACACAUGCUUAUCCUUACUAUAAACAGGAAAACCAUCCAAAGAUGUAUACAGAGAAAGUAAUCGCCAUUCCCACCCCAACUCCCAGGUUCACACUACUCAUCUAGAGUAAAAGUCCUCAUGAAUUCACUGCAAGACAAGAACACAGGAAAGCAACUACCACACAGAAGAGAUGUGGACCCCAAAACGUUGGUCUCUUACAUCCAACCAGGUGUAAUUGGCAAGUAACACAGAGCCAAGCACUACACCUGAGACAUCCUCAUCACAGUCACAAAGACUGAAUCUAAAACUUUACCCUGCACUUGAUGGAUCAGCUGAUACCACCUAGACUGGCAAUCUGGCUCAACCAGUUCUGUGAUCCCAUCCAGGAACAGAGCACAGCAAGAAAACCUCACUUGAUCCCCUGUGAUUCCAUCUCCAACCUGACCAAUCAGCACUCCCCACUUCCUGAGCCACUACCUGUCAAAUUAUCUUUAAAAACUCUGACCUCCCCCUUCCAUGCUCAGAGAGACUGAUUUGAGUAAUAAUAAAACUCUGGUCUCCAGCACAGCUGAGUCUGUGUGAAUUACUCUUUAUUGCAAUUCCCUUGCCUUGAUAAAUCGACUCUGUCUAGGCAGUGGGCAAGGUGAACCCACUGGGCGAUUAUACUACUACCCACUUUUUUGCUGCUGAGCUCAGCUGUCUGGUUGGGCUUCUAUCCAGUGCCUCCUCUAUUCCAACAGAUGUAUCCGUCUUACAUAAUAGGACUAUUCUCAACUCAGACCAUCCUACCUCUACCAAUGAGUUGUGAAGGCAGAACACGUGACCAAAAGAAAAAAAACAGAAGCAGAAGAAGAAAGUUUAAAUAACCCCUACACAAUCUGAUUUUGGAUUUCAACUAAGAAAAUAGCAUUUUAUCUGAUAAAAUGAUAUAUGAUUUCAAAAAUCCUACUGAAGCUAAUUUCUCUAAUUCAACUAAUUUGAGAAUGCUUGUCAGAACCUUCUUAGAGUGGUGCCAACAACAUUUCUAUACUCACUUGUAUAUGAGAAAGUUUAGGCAGAAAUCAGAAUUUUGAUUUGCUAAAAUGUAAUCUUUGAUGGUUAAAAAAAUUCAUUGUUUUUUUUUACAUAAACAUUAACAUGAAGCCAGACUUUGGAGGACUAGAUUAUGAAUAAGGUGGCUUUUUAAACUUAUUGUUUAAAUCUCACACUUUUGAGAAUGAAAAAAGCAAAUUAAUAAUCAUGCCAGGGCAAUGGGAAAAAACUGAGGCUGUUGCAGUCAAGUCAGGAAGUUCAGUCACUCUAAUUAUCAGCCACAUUUUGUGAGAACGUAUUCAGAAUUUCCCGUGUGGUAGGAGAAGGGAUGCUGGAGAAAUUUUCUCCCUGCAUCUGCUUUCUCACUUCCCUUCCUCAUUUCCCUAGAGUUCCCUAAUGUCUCCUCCAACAUCCUCAGCUACUUUUUCUCAUCUUUAUUCACUAGAAUGUGAACUGAAUUUGACAUAAAAAUGAAGCAUCAAAACUAGUUUCACAGCCAGGCACUGUGGCUCAUGCCUGUAAUCCCAGCACUUUGGGAUGUAGAGAGGGGCAGAUCACCUGACGUCAGGAAUUCAAGACCAGCCUGACCAACAUGGCGAAACCCUGUCUCUACUAAAAAUACAAAAAUUAGCCAGGCAUGGUGGCCCGUGCUUGUAGUCCCAGCUACUCGGGAGGCUGAGGCCUGAAUCUGGGAGGCGGAGGUUGCAGUGAGCCGAGAUCACGUCACUGCACUCCAGCCUGGGGAACAGAGCGAAACUCUGUCUCAAAAAAAAAAAAAAAGAAAAGAAAAGAAAAGAAAAAAAAAACAUCUAGUUUCACAUAUACUUGAACUUCAGUGGCUGACUAUCCUUUGCAGCAAAACAGGUGUAAUUUUUAGGAAACUCAAGAGUGGCUACCAGUGUGGCUGCAGAUGGUACAGCAUUAAUGUAAAAGAUACAUCUGUAUAUCCUAUUUUUCUUUAGAGAAGAAAUUUCAUACCCCCUUUCUGGCAUGUAAAAAAGCAACAGUAUUAGAAGGUUAAUUAGAAGUUGAAUGAAGUUUCAUGCAGACUAGCUUGUCGAUCAACAAACUUGACCUGAUUCUAUCUUAUCUAUGUGGCACUCACGUGGAUUCUCAUAUCUCCCCCAAGCAAAAGGAGAACAAUCUGCCUUAUUCACAGCAUUUGUGCUGAAUGCCUGAGAUGCACAUGCCAUGCAUGUCACAAGGCAAUCAUGUCUUCACAAAGUUAGAGAAAGAGGUAAACCUAUGAUGGCUGGCCCAGUGACCCCUAGGGACUUCAAGAAAUCCCAAAGGAAAUGCAGCAGACUCACUCUUUGAAUAAGAUGUCACCCUUUGAAGAAAAUGUCAGCAACAGAAAAGUCAGAGGUAGAGCAACGAUGGGAAGAAGAUGUGCUUUCAAAAAACUUUUGAAAAGUGGCUUUUAAAUAAAGUGGGAAAAAGCAUGUCUUUACUUACAACUUAGACAAAUACCAGCUCUCAAGCUUCUAUGUGAACAGGGUCUGUUAAUGAAGUUGUCUUCAAUGUGUCUCCAGAUGUGUCUCAGGCACAUGAGAAUCAUCGUCAGAAGAAAGAGGGAGCCACCCUUUUGACAGACGUUGCAACGUAAUAAUAAUGACAGAAUUAUAAAUAAGUAAGUUAUGAUAAAGAAUAGCCAAUACUUACCUGGAACUUACUAUGAAUCAGGGACUGUCUUGAGUACUUUUUCUGUAUUAUUUCAAGAAAACCUGGGCUUAGAGUCAUGCAGGCCUAAGUCUGAGUCCUGGUUCUGUUACUUUUUAGCUGUGUGGUCAUGAGGAAGGAGUUUCUUAAACUUCUUUAAUAUUAAGUUUCUCCAAAUAUAAAAUACUCUUAGGGUUGUUGUGGAAACAGAUUAGAUCAGGUAUGCACAAGCACCAAUAGGGUCCGUUUCCUCUUGUGUUGGACAUUGCAAGCCUUCAGAUGAUAAAACUUGGGUGUUUGGGGAACAUUGUCUGAAGGUCAUUGAGUAGUUAACCAUUCUAAUAUCACAUGGUAUGGAACAUUCACAUUAGUGCCCAUUAACUUUGAGAAGAUUGUGUGCCUCUUUCUGCUCAUUUUUAUGACCUAUUUUCUACAAACAUUGAGAAGUGUGGGAGGAAAGAGCCCGAUAGGAUUCAUCAAAACCAAAGAAGAUAUAACAAGAAUGGCAAAGACGGUAUCAUGAAAGUGAUGGAAUUAAUUUGCAUUUCCCUUCAGGGUGCGAGAUUUCAGAUUUUUUCCCCAGAAGGGUAUUCAUGGAAAGGUACUACGUGUCUGCACUACCUCAUCAGAAAUGUUUAUUUCUCUUUUUUUGAGACGGAGUCUCACUCUGUCAUCCAGGCUGGAGUACAGUGGCGCCAUCUCAGCUCACUGCAACCUCCACCUCCCACAUUCAAGGGAUUCUCCUGCCUCAGCCUCCAGAGUAGCUAGGAUUACAGGCACCCACCAUCACGCCUGACUAAUUUUUGUAGUUUUAGUAGAGACGGAGUUUCACCAUGUGGGCCAGGUUGGUCUUGAACUCCUGGCCUCAAGUGGUCUGCUUGUCUUGGCCUCCCAAAGUGCUGGAUUUACAGGCAUGAGCCACCACACCGAGCCAGAAAUGUUUAUUUCUUGUGAACUGGUGCUCAUUAAAAUAGAGUGCCCCCAGCCAGGUGUGGUGUCUCAGGCCUGUAAUCCCAACACUUUGGGAGGCUGAGGUGGGCGGAUCACUUGAGGCCAGGAGUGCAAGACCAGCCUGGCCCACAUGGCGAAACUUCGUCUAUACUAAAACUUCAGAAAUUUCCCGAGUGUGACAGGCGUGCCUGUAAUCCCAGCUACUUGAAAGGCUGAGGUAGGAGAAUCACUUGAACCUAGGAGCGGAGAUUACAGUGGGUCAAGAUGGUGCCACUGCACUCCAUCCUGGGCAACAGAGAGAGACUGUCUCCAAAUAAAUAAAUAAAUGCAUAAAUAAAAAUAAACUACCCCUUACAUAAUUUCCUCUUGUCAAAAACUUCAGAUACACAAUAUUUGCAGCUCCACCCAUUGUGAAUAAAGAGAGUAGAUAGUUUAUGUUGCUAAUUGUUAGUACUAAAAGACUUGCUAAUUAAAUAGUCAACAACCACAAAACUGCUUUGGGAAUGAGGCUGGUCCUUGUAAUUAACCUCAUUUUGUAAGUGAAGGAAGGAACAUGAGCACAGAAAAAGACUAUGGGACCUAGCCAAAGCCACAGCUAGUAAAGGACAAGGAUAAAAACUAGAAUUGAUGAAUCCUGAAUCCUAAAUUACAAUGCCUUGUUCAUCAGCUUUUGUCAACCUUCAGCAAUUUUAGGUGCUUUCCUGUGGUUGUACUUGUGGGAUUCAAAACUGGAUUUUGUUAUUGUUGUUCCUUGGCAAAAUAAAUAAACAAAAGCAAAUUGUAUUUAAAAAUAAACACACUUUUAUACAUAAACAUGCACACACAUGUAAAAAUCUAUUGAGAAAAUUACUUCUUAAAUAGUGGCCUACUAAUAAUUACUUUUAGGAUCAGUGUACAAAGUACAAAGGAUCAGUGCCUCUGGGUUGCGGGGAGGGCUUGCAGGCUUAGACGCUGUAUGAAGGGGUGCUAGAACACUGUAAAUGUAAAGUGGUUUACUUCCAUGCUCUGUGAUGCUAUUCCUGGCUCUUUCAAUUCAGCCAGCCCAAUCAUGUUAAAGCCAGCCACUAGUACCAGCUAUUUUUUUUUUUAGACAAAGUCUCGCUCUGUUGCCCAGGUGGGAGUGCAGUGGCGCAAUCUCAGCUCACUGCAACCUCUGCCUCCCAGGUUCAAGCAAUUCUCGUGCCUCAGCCUCCCAAGUAGCUGGGAUUACAGGCAUGCACCACCACACCCAGCUAAUUUUUGUAUUUUUAGUAAGGACGGGUUUCACCACGUUGGCCAGGCUGGUCUUGUCAAUUCCCAACCUCAAGUGAUCCACCCGCCUUGGCCUCCCAAAGUGUUGAGAUUAUAGGUGGGAGUGAGCCAUCGCCCUGGACAAGUACCAGUUCUUAAUGCUGGUAUUUGCCUAGGAUCUUGACAUUUGCCUGUGAUCCCCUUCCCCCCUGCAUAAAGAUCCUGUAAUUUGAGCUCAGUUCCUUGAGCUCUUUGAUACUCUCAGACUAUACUAUGAUUAUAAGAAACUACUUAAGUCCCUUCUCUGGCUGACUGGUCUCAUAUUCCCACUAAUAAUAAAUAACAUAGUUUGUAUUCAUGAUCUGGGUUACACCCAAGCUAGCAGCUAUAUAAUACUUUUGUAACCAUAAUAGGUUCAUUGCCAAUGUACACAGCAAGUCAAUACACUGAGACAAUAGGUUGUGUGUUGCAGAGAAAGAGGUUUAAUCAUAGCGCCACUGAACGAGGAGAUGGAAGUAAACUAAUAUGUCUCCCCGAGAAGUUUGGGGCUAGAGUUUUUUUUAAGGCUUUUGGAGUGGGCCAAAGAGUGGAGAUUGAUUGGUUGAAGAGUGCAGGGUGAAGUCAUGGGACAAGGAGAUGAAGAAGCUGUAUUCUUUUGCUGAUCCCGUUCUUCUGUGGGGUUCUUCAAACUGGUUUCUAGAAUUCGGGGUCUGAGAAAGAUCAUAAGUAAUCCUUAAACAAAAGCCUUAUUAUCCUAAUGUCGGAGAUCCUAUCUGUAGGAACAAUGGAGAUGCCAAUGAGUCUUGAACAGUCUUAUGACCCUAAUGUCAGAGACCCUAUCUAUAGGAACAAUGGGGAUACAGAUGGUCAGCAUCUAGUGCUGCAUGACUUUUACCAACAAGGAAGUGGACCAAAGUGCAGCCUGAUUAAUGCUUAAUUAUAACUAUAUUUCUGUCCUGAACCUGGCAUGCAAUUCUUGUCAACCCUGUGGGAGUGGCUUCAUUUUGAGACAUAGAGAGCUUUUUUCCUGUUGUGCUUUCUGGAUCAAGCUAACCCCUCCAGGUCAGUGGGGUGGCAGCAAUGGUUUCUAAAGGUACUCUCUAUGCAGCGAAGAACAA
rnacentral:lncRNA from 10 species